GAUGAACGCUAGCGGUGUGCUUAAUGCAUGCAAGUCGAACGAUUCUCUUGGAUUCGUCUGAGAGGGUAGUGGCGGACGGGUGAGUAACGCGUAGGUGACCUCCCUCAGAGAGGGGGAUAACUAUUGGAAACGAUAGCUAAUACCCCGGAUGUUGUUAGUGCUAGAAGCUAACAACUAAAGCUCCGGCGCUCUGAAAUGGGCCUGCGUCCCAUCAGCUAGUUGGUGAGGUAACGGCUCACCAAGGCUUAGACGGGUAGGGGGCGUGAGAGCGUGACCCCCCACACUGGUACUGAAACACGGACCAGAUACCUACGGGUAGCAGCAGCAAGGAAUAUUGCGCAAUGGGCGAAAGCCUGACGCAGCAACACCGCGUGGAGGACGAAGGUCUUCGGAUCGUAAACUCCUUUUCUGAGGGAAGAGAAAGGACGGUACCUCAGGAAUAAGGCCCGGCUAACUACGUG
rnacentral:rRNA from 1 species